rnacentral:rRNA from 1 species
GGGGGACGGAGAAGGCUAUGUUGGCCGGGCGACGGUUGUCCCGGUUUAAGCGUGUAGGCUGGUUUUCCAGGCAAAUCCGGAAAAUCAAGGCCGAGGCGUGAUGACGAGGCACUACGGUGCUGAAGCAACAAAUGCCCUGCUUCCAGGAAAAGCCUCUAAGCAUCAGGUAACAUCAAAUCGUACCCCAAACCGACACAGGUGGUCAGGUAGAGAAUACCAAGGCGCUUGAGAGAACUCGGGUGAAGGAACUAGGCAAAAUGGUGCCGUAACUUCGGGAGAAGGCACGCUGAUACGUAGGUGAAGCGGACUUGCUCGUGGAGCUGAAAUCAGUCGAAGAUACCAGCUGGCUGCAACUGUUUAUUAAAAACACAGCACUGUGCAAACACGAAAGUGGACGUAUACGGUGUGACGCCUGCCCGGUGCCGGAAGGUUAAUUGAUGGGGUUAGCGCAAGCGAAGCUCUUGAUCGAAGCCCCGGUAAACGGCGGCCGUAACUAUAACGGUCCUAAGGUAGCGAAAUUCCUUGUCGGGUAAGUUCCGACCUGCACGAAUGGCGUAAUGAUGGCCAGGCUGUCUCCACCCGAGACUCAGUGAAAUUGAACUCGCUGUGAAGAUGCAGUGUACCCGCGGCAAGACGGAAAGACCCCGUGAACCUUUACUAUAGCUUGACACUGAACAUUGAGCCUUGAUGUGUAGGAUAGGUGGGAGGCUUUGAAGUGUGGACGCCAGUCUGCAUGGAGCCGACCUUGAAAUACCACCCUUUAAUGUUUGAUGUUCUAACGUGGACCCGUGAUCCGGGUUGCGGACAGUGUCUGGUGGGUAGUUUGACUGGGGCGGUCUCCUCCUAAAGAGUAACGGAGGAGCACGAAGGUUGGCUAAUCCUGGUCGGACAUCAGGAGGUUAGUGCAAUGGCAUAAGCCAGCUUGACUGCGAGCGUGACGGCGCGAGCAGGUGCGAAAGCAGGUCAUAGUGAUCCGGUGGUUCUGAAUGGAAGGGCCAUCGCUCAACGGAUAAAAGGUACUCCGGGGAUAACAGGCUGAUACCGCCCAAGAGUUCAUAUCGACGGCGGUGUUUGGCACCUCGAUGUCGGCUCAUCACAUCCUGGGGCUGAAGUAGGUCCCAAGGGUAUGGCUGUUCGCCAUUUAAAGUGGUACGCGAGCUGGGUUUAGAACGUCGUGAGACAGUUCGGUCCCUAUCUGCCGUGGGCGCUGGAGAACUGAGGGGGGCUGCUCCUAGUACGAGAGGACCGGAGUGGACGCAUCACUGGUGUUCGGGUUGUCAUGCCAAUGGCACUGCCCGGUAGCUAAAUGCGGAAGAGAUAAGUGCUGAAAGCAUCUAAGCACGAAACUUGCCCCGAGAUGAGUUCUCCCUGACCCUUUAAGGGUCCUGAAGGAACGUUGAAGACGACGACGUUGAUAGGCCGGGUGUGUAAGCGCAGCGAUGCGUUGAGCUAACCGGUACUAAUGAACCGUGAGGCUUAACCUU